AGAAAAAUCCAGCCUCAGAAUCUGCUGCCUCUGGCGAAGAUACUCAGCAAGUUCUUGUCACAGUAGCAUCCGUCAGGAUUGCUUCUUCCUAUUUUGAGCAGAAUUUAUCUCAAAACUGAAUCUAAAGUGUGCAAAGCGGAUAAAAGACAGAUGAAUAAAUGAAAGGGCUCCCCAGAGGCCCAUGGGGCACAAUAGGCAGAGCAGUGGAACCCUGGCCUCUCCUGGUUUCGUCCAUUCAGAAUGGAAACAGAAUUUCAACCAUUUAUAAAAGUCCAAUAAUUGUAAAAAGUGGGUUCAAAUAUAAGCUACCUUAUUUCCAUUAUGAGCAGAGAAACAACUGCCAGAAUCAAGGAGGAAAGCAUUCUCCAUUCAGCCCCUUCUUCGUUCCCAUUUGGAAAGAGCACUGGCUGCUCCCUCUACUCAUGUCUCUGUAUCUUUUCAUGAAGCCAGGAUGGUGCUGAAGGGUUAAUAUGCUAUUAUCCCAGUGAAACUUUAAGCUCCUUGAGAUCAAGUAACAAAACAAAUGCUUCUUUUGAAGAGUCCGCAGUACCCAUCUUAGUGGGUUAAUACAACAAACAUCGAAUAUCCCCAAAGAGAAAAUUUAUGUGAACUUACAAAGCAGAAUGUCAGCAACAACCUCAACUAUCUCUCCUAAUCUUUUGCCUCUACUCCCACUCGUCCAUGACUGACUCCUACAGAAUCAGUUGUGGAAACCUCAUUGCUUCCACCCACGAUUGCAAGAACAUCAAGUCUGGUGUCAAGGCUUCUUUCUCCAAGGUUUCCAUUCUGUAGGGUAGUCACUGGUUUCCUGAAGAAGGGAAGAAAGAGUCGUCUUGUCCUUCCCCUGUGCCUUAUGUAUUUAUUGGUCUCUUUGCUUGGCCUCACAAAGGCUUGUUUAACUCCACCAGAUCCUACCAGCUUCAAACCCUUCUCUUCAAAGGAGCCACAGACCAGCCUGAGGACCAGUUAGGGACAGCAGGCACCGCUGACACUCUGAAUCAUCUUCCCCAGGGCAAGCCUCAUGCCAAAGUCUGUAAAGGAACACUGAUGGGCCCUGGGCCUGGAAGAGUGGGACAGAGUGUCUAUACCACCUUAGUUUUGGCUCAGCACUCAGAAAGAUACCUUUUCAUCAGUACCUGGGCUGAGGCAGCACAGAAACUUGGAUGUUCAGACAGCAAAGCUGAUGGCCACGCUUCUUUGUAACAAAGGCACUUCUGCUGAAUUCAAAGCGUUUUAGGUAAAACUACCUAUUGUCUGUCAGAGGCUUUCUUUAAAAGAAUAAUUAAAGAACAAAAAGCAGAAAUAGACACGUAAAUACAGAGAAGGAGCUGAUGGUUGCCAGUGGUGGGGGUGGGGAGACGAGGUGGGGUGUCAGAGGAUGGACAAAAUAGGUGAAGGGAAGUGGGGGGGGGACAGACUUCCAGUUAUGGAGAUAAUUCACGAGAUAAAAGGCAAAAGUUAGGAAAUAUAGUCAAUGAUACUGUAAUGACAACAUAUGGUGACAGAUGGCAGCUAUACUUGUGGUGAGCACAGCAAAAGGGAUAUAUUGACCCAAUCACUAUGUUGUACAAUUGGAAUCAAUAUAACAUUGUGUCUUAACUAUAUUUCAAUUUAAAAAAAAUUAAGGCUUUUAUUUUGUACUAAAUUUUGCAUCUUGUAUUGAAGGCCUCCAUGAAUAAGUCAGCACUGCCCUCUACUGGAUGAUCUGUGUUUGUUGCUCAAUAAACACCUUGGGCACAAGAGGAUUUAAAUAGGAUUUUUGAUACUUUCUCUUAAUGUCAAUGAGAAGAGAGUGGAAACUAAGACAUCCAAACAGUCUGGAUAUUCCUCCAUGCCUAAUAAUAUGGUCAGAUAAAAAGUUCCUCAAAAAAAGGCUUCAUAUUCCAAUUUCAAGGAUUAUAAGUUUAAAAACCAAACUCAAGUAUGUUAACAACAAAGAAAGAAAAGUGUCAGAGAGACAAAAAAGUAGAGGGGAGAGAGAGAAAAUAAAUUCUCAUCGGAGUAAAUGGGGACUGGUUUCCUACUUUGGCAACCUCAAAAAUAAACUCAAGUAAAUGCUUUGUGACAUCACCAGCUGCAGUUCCUCUAAUGUGUAUGCUAAUUCUAGCUCCUGGGAUAAACUUUUUAUCUUCUCGAGACAAAAUGUAAGAUGAGUUUAGUCAGCUGUAAUGAUCAGUUCUCCUGCUAUGAAAAUGUUAUGUUCCUGUCAAAGGAGAUUAAACUGUGGUUGGUUGGAAGUCAGCCAACAAAUUAUUAUACCUAACAUAGCAGUAGCAUUUAGACCGACUGAAAUCUACCCCAAAUUUUGACUCAUAAGAUAAGAAAAAAUAAACAGUCAUUAAAAGAUAUUACGACUUGGGGUCCCUGGGUGGCUUAGCUG